rnacentral:rRNA from 1 species
UGGGGAAUAUUGCACAAUGGGCGCAAGCCUGAUGCAGCCAUGCCGCGUGUAUGGAGAAGGCCUUCGGGUUGUAAAGUACUUUCAGCGAGGAGGAAGGCGUUGUGGUUAAUAACCGCAGCGAUUGACGUUACUCGCAGAAGAAGCACCGGCUAACUCCGUGCCAGCAGCCGCGGUAAUACGGAGGGUGCAAGCGUUAAUCGGAAUUACUGGGCGUAAAGCGCACGCAGGCGGUCUGUCAAGUCGGAUGUGAAAUCCCCGGGCUCAACCUGGGAACUGCAUCCGAAACUGGCAGGCUAGAGUCUUGUAGAGGGGGGUAGAAUUCCAGGUGUAGCGGUGAAAUGCGUAGAGAUCUGGAGGAAUACCGGUGGCGAAGGCGGCCCCCUGGACAAAGACUGACGCUCAGGUGCGAAAGCGUGGGGAGCAAACA